UACGUAGGGGGCUAGCGUUGCUCGGAAUCACUGGGCGUAAAGCGCACGUAGGCGGCUUGCUAAGUCAGGGGUGAAAUCCUGGAGCUCAACUCCAGAACUGCCUUUGAUACUGGCGGCCUUGAGUCCGGGAGAGGUGAGUGGAACUGCGAGUGUAGAGGUGAAAUUCGUAGAUAUUCGCAAGAACACCAGUGGCGAAGGCGGCUCACUGGCCCGGUACUGACGCUGAGGUGCGAAAGCGUGGGGAGCAAACAGG
rnacentral:rRNA from 1 species